AGAGGGGGUGGUUUAUGGGUAUGAACCCGAACUCGGGGUGCUAGGCACUUCUGUAGGAUCAGCCAUGGGAGAAUAUUAAAAUUUAAGUUUUUGUAUACAUAUAUUGUGAUGAAUUUUAAAAGAAGAAUAUGAUUUUUGGAUAUUAGGUUCUGCGAGGGAUUUACGGAAUUAAUUGGAUUUAUUGUGGAUCGCGUUCACAAGGUAAGUGAUGUAACAUCNNNNNNNNNNNNNNNNNNNNAUAAAGAGAGGGGGUGGUUUAUGGGUAUGAACCCGAACUCGGGGUGCUAGGCACUUCUGUAGGAUCAGCCAUGGGAGAAUAUUAAAAUUUAAGUUUUUGUAUACAUAUAUUGUGAUGAAUUUUAAAAGAAGAAUAUGAUUUUUGGAUAUUAGGUUCUGCGAGGGAUUUACGGAAUUAAUUGGAUUUAUUGUGGAUCGCGUUCACAAGGUAAGUGAUGUAACAUCUUUACUAGAUUUAUCGGAAAACUAAAUAUCUGUUUUACGAAUCGAAUUAUUCGUGAUUUCGAAUUUGAUGCAUGGAUUAUAUGUAUAUUUUUUGAAUAUUGUAUGGCUCUGAUUGAACGUAUUUGCUUCAGAUUUGAAUUGUAUUUAAUUGCUCUGACAUUGUACUUUUCGGCUUGGAACACUGAACAUAAUGUAAGAAAAGAUAAUGACUUGAAAUAGAUUCAGACUUGCAGUCGGGCUAUAUUGAGGACCCUGCCAAUGGGGGCUAAUACAUUGGUACCGCAAGAAGAAUAGUCGAUGAUAUGACCCUGCCACAGGAAACAUGUGGCCAUAGUUCCUGGCUGUUGAGUUGAAUCUGAUAAAUUGAAAGAAAUUAAGAUAUGAACGAUAUUUGGUUUUGACACUGCAUGUUUUCAUGACUGAAAUAUGAAAUAGAGAACUAAUUGAAUUUCGACCUGGCUAUGUUGAGGACCCCGCCAAUGGGGGCAGAUACGUUAGCAAUUGACUGUCCUGAAGGACUUACCGCAAGAAGAUUAGUCGGUGUUGAUGACCCUGCCACAGGGAACAUGUGGUCAUAGUUCAGGAUCGACGAGAUGAAUUAAAUAUGUGAAAGAAUCUCGAAACCGUGAAAAGAAUCUAAAGAAUUUAAGAAAUAUUUGACUUGUACCUUGGAACUGCAUAUAUAUUUAUUUUCUACAUAUUAUUGCUUGAUUUAUCUAGUUAGAGUGUUCAUUACUUACUGGCCUGUUUAGCUCAUUAUAUAAUUUAUUGUUGUUUUACAGAUUCCAAGAACUAGCCUAUUGGGGGUUCCAAAAUGGGAGAGCGACUAGAAGGAUUGUGGCACAAGUUAUCUUAAAUUAGGGUUAUUUAAGUUGAUCUGUUAUUUUGGACAUUUAUUAUGAUUGCUGGACAUUGCAAGGUUUUGUUAUUUUAAGAACUAGAUUUCUGCAUGUUGGUAAAUUAUUGUUCCGCUGCGUAUCUAGAACUAUGAGACCUUAUGACUUAAGUUAAUCGAUAGAAUAAGUUACAUUUAUUCAGUUAAAUUAUUUUAGAUUUAUAUAAUUGAGAUGUUUGGUUAAGAUGCCUUGCAUGCUCGUAGGGAGAGUUUCCUACGGGUGUGCGGCGGUUGGCGCGGACCCCAACCCGAGAUUACACCCGGCUCGCAAUCUCGGGCCGGGGGCGUGACACUUUGCGUCCCUUCUAUCUGGAGAAUUAACAACUCUCUCGAUCACUAAGCACUUAGCUCGAAUGGUAAUUCCAACUGGUUAGCAGGUCCCGUGAGAGGAAAUUAUUACAACCUUUUGGAUUAAUUCUUUAUCUCCUUAGCUUGCUCUUGUUCAGAUUUUUUCAUGUUUUGGUGAAAUGUACCUUUCUUGGAUGUUGGGUUUAACUCCACCUCAGAGAGGGAGAGAGCGCUACAAAUAAAAUGCAAAAGCUAUACUCUUUCCUUGCACUGAAAGCCACUUGUUGGAUCCUUCUUGCCAUGCGCAUCAAGUACAUACGUAAUGUUUUUUGUUUUUUUAAUGAUAAAAUGAGAGUUUUAUUUCAAGCCAUGCUGAAUGCACAUGGCUUGGUAUUAGUUUGAAACAAGACUAAGCUAUUGUUGGCCACACUUUCCUCACUUGCAUCAAAUGCAACAAACUAUACCAAACUAUGUUGCACCGUGUGAAUUUGAUGCUUGUUGAACAAAAGCCAUUUAUCUUGUUCUUUAUGUGGAAUAUUUUGCACGAAGUCAAGCCUCUAUUUUGUUGCUAUGUACAAACGUUAAUCUCUUAUGCAAACUAUAAGCCUCUAUUUUGCCGCUACGUGUCAUGCUCCAAACUUGUCAUCUGCGCAUGGGCGGCUCAAUGUAUUUCAGAGUCUAAGGCGAACUCACUAUUUUUUUUUAUAAAAAAUGAUGAAAAAGAAAAUACGAUAGCAAUGCAGCAGCAAAAUAGAUUUUGAUACAUAUUAAGAUUUAAAGGUCACUGGCAAUGCAUAUCAAUAAAGCAGAUACCCAACAGCAAGCUAGUUUUGAUUAUUAAUUGUAUUUGAAAGUAUAAGAAAAUCCCUUAUCCCUGAUUUUAUACAAAAUGAAAUAUAUACAUCAAAUAACUCUUUAAGGGUCGGGUCGGCCCUGACUGAUAUGAAUUCUGUCCAAAAACCCAAU
rnacentral:lncRNA from 1 species